GCUCGCUUCGGCAGCACAUACUAAAAUUGGAACAAUACAGAGAAGAUUAGCAUAGAAUGAUGUUGACCUUGGGUUUAGCAUAUAUAACUUUU
rnacentral:snRNA from 1 species